GACGAACGCUGGCGGCGUGCCUAAUACAUGCAAGUAGGACGCAGUUGCGAACGGGUGAGUAACGCGUAGGUAACUACCUAUUAGAGGGGGAUACCUAUUGGAAACGAUAGCUAAUACCGCAUACUCGUCGCUGGACCUGCGGUGUAUUAGCUAGUAGGUAGGGUAAUGGCCUACCUGGGCAACGAUACAUAGCCGACCUGAGAGGGUGCUCGGCCACCCUGGGACGUGGACACGGCCCAGACGCCUACGGGAGGCAGCAGUAGGGAAUCGUCGGCAAUGGGGGGAACCCUGACCGAGCAACGCCGCGUGAGUGAAGAAGGUGUGCGGAUCGUAAAGCUCUGUUGUUAAGGAAGCGGUACUUAACCAGAAAGGGACGGCUAACUACGUGCCAGCCGCCGCGGUAAUUC
rnacentral:rRNA from 1 species